GGCGGCCGUAACUAUAACGGUCCUAAGGUAGCGAAAUUCCUUGUCGGGUAAGUUCCGACCCGCACGAAAGGCGUAACGAUUUGGGCACUGUCUCAACGAGAGACUCGGUGAAAUCAUAGUACCUGUGAAGAUGCAGGUUACCCGCGACAGGACGGAAAGACCCCGUGGAGCUUUACUGUAGCCUGAUAUUGAAAUUCGGCACAGCUUGUACAGGAUAGGUAGGAGCCUUUGAAACGUGAGCGCUAGCUUACGUGGAGGCGCUGGUGGGAUACUACCCUAGCUGUGUUGGCUUUCUAACCCGCACCACUUAUCGUGGUGGGAGACAGUGUCAGGCGGGCAGUUUGACUGGGGCGGUCGCCUCCUAAAAGGUAACGGAGGCGCUCAAAGGUUCCCUCAGAAUGGUUGGAAAUCAUUCAUAGAGUGUAAAGGCAUAAGGGAGCUUGACUGCGAGACCUACAAGUCGAGCAGGGUCGAAAGACGGACUUAGUGAUCCGGUGGUUCCGCAUGGAAGGGCCAUCGCUCAACGGAUAAAAGCUACCCCGGGGAUAACAGGCUUAUCUCCCCCAAGAGUUCACAUCGACGGGGAGGUUUGGCACCUCGAUGUCGGCUCAUCGCAUCCUGGGGCUGUAGUCGGUCCCAAGGGUUGGGCUGUUCGCCCAUUAAAGCGGUACGCGAGCUGGGUUCAGAACGUCGUGAGACAGUUCGGUCCCUAUCCGUCGUGGGCGUAGGAAAUUUGAGAGGAGCUGUCCUUAGUACGAGAGGACCGGGAUGGACAUACCUCUGGUGUACCAGUUGUCGUGCCAACGGCAUAGCUGGGUAGCUAUGUGUGGACGGGAUAAGUGCUGAAAGCAUCUAAGCAUGAAGCCCCCCUCAAGAUGAGAUUUCCCAACUUCGGUUAUAAGAUCCCUCAAAGAUGAUGAGGUUAAUAGGU
rnacentral:rRNA from 1 species